rnacentral:rRNA from 1 species
GACGAACGCUGGCGGCGUGCUUAACACAUGCAAGUCGAACGGUAAGGCCUUUCGGGGUACACGAGUGGCGAACGGGUGAGUAACACGUGGGUGAUCUGCCCUGCACUUCGGGAUAAGCCCGGGAAACUGGGUCUAAUACCGGAUAGGACUGCGCGGUGCAUGCCGUGUGGUGGAAAGAUUUAUCGGUGCAGGAUGGGCCCGCGGCCUAUCAGCUUGUUGGUGGGGUAAUGGCCUACCAAGGCGACGACGGGUAGCCGGCCUGAGAGGGCGACCGGCCACACUGGGACUGAGACACGGCCCAGACUCCUACGGGAGGCAGCAGUGGGGAAUAUUGUACAAUGGGCGCAAGCCUGAUGCAGCGACGCCGCGUGAGGGAUGACGGCCUUCGGGUUGUAAACCUCUUUCAGCAGGGACGAAGCGUGAGUGACGGUACCUGCAGAAGAAGCACCGGCCAACUACGUG